GAUCUGCUCAACAGCAAGGUCUCAAUUCUCCCCAGAUGAGAAGAUUUAAAAGGGAGAACAACAAAGGGACAGCGGCUGACUCAACCAACAGGACGAGCGAAUGCGGCCCAGGAGCCAGCGCUGCCCCUGAGCCAGGCACGCAGACCACAGCUCGACCUCCCAGGGGAGCAGAGCGUGACACCCCACACGCACUCACUCACUCCCACCCACAGCAACCUCCCCGGCACUUCCACCUCAGGACCUCUGCACAAGUUUUGUGCGUCAAUGAGGAGCUUCCUGCCCCUUCAAGUCAUUCAAUCUCUACCCAGUGUUACCUGGGAGGGGCCUUCCCUGUGCACCAUGAAGGAAGCACCACCCACAGCUUUAGUGAUCAGACCUCUCCCUGGUCCCCAUCACACACAGGGCCACUGCCCCCUGCCGGCUCCUGGGCUCCUGGCCUGCAGGACUGAUGCAGAGCCGGCCAGCUGACAGCUGACAGGCUGUUGGCACCUGCUGUCUCCUCCACCACAGACCCCAGGAGGCUUAUUAGAAAAAGAGUCACUCUGGCUUGGUCAGUCCAAAGUUCUCAGGCCUUCUCUUGGCUAAAGACUAUCCUAACCAACACGGGGAAACCUGAGGCCUCAGGAGCAGGUGCUGGAACCCGAAGCAACAGCUCCAAGUCCCCAUCUCGGCGGCCACACCAAGGACGCCUAACCCAGUCCUCCUCACCCGGAGCCCAUCUGCAAACUCCACCGUCCUGCCCAGGGGGACACAACUCACCCAGAAACCCCAUCCUCAGCCAGGUGGCCCACAGCAAACCCCAAGUCACCAGAUGAGGACCCUGGAUGAGGCAUGCAGGACAGGCCAAGGGGCUCUGAGCUCUGGACUGGCUGCCUCCAGUCCAGCCGCCCCAAGGACCACCACCCUAGCUUCCCGGUCCAGAACACGCCAGCCAAACCCUCUCACCCACCCCUUUAACAUAAAGAAGCUCCAGGAAGAGAAGAAACCAACUUAUUUUCAAGGUGCCUUUGAGUAAUCUCCGUUGUUCCUGAACUUUCUUCCCUGCAUGAAUACAGAACAGCAGUGUGAAAACACAGCUAUUCCAGGAUGGAAAGUGAUUUUAGAAACUCCUCUUGCAACGCCUUGAGUCACAGUCAGGGAAAGGCAGAGGCCCAGAGGAAAAUUGCCACGGUCAUCUCUGAAGGCUCUCCCUGGGCUGGAGAGACAGUGGCAUCAGGGCCGGUCACUAUCCGUGGGGGUCGCCCUGGGCCCCAGGGGGUGCUGAGCAGUCUUCCUGGCCUUCACCCGCUUGAUGCCAGAAGCCCCUACUAGUCGUGACAAGCCCAGAUGUUCCCAGACAUCACCCAGUGUCCUCUGGGGGCAGGACUGCCCCCGGGGCGGGAACUACUUCACUGAAGGAUUUCCAUGGAUUAAGUCAGUUAAAUCUCAUCCACCCUUCAAGCAGAGCUCUCCACUGUCACCCCCACUUCAGCGAUAAGGGCACACACCCAGCAGAAGUGGGAUCCAAGCCCAGGCAAGCCGGGCACGCAGGUACCAGCCUCCAGAGGCCGAUCCCAGUGGCCAUCCUACCUUGAGACCUCAGGCCACUUAAGAUUGCCUGGAGCUCUGGGAUGUGACUGCCGAACUCUGCUUGUACACAGGUCUCAGCUUUCCCACGGCCAAAGCAGCACCCCAAGUCCCUACAG
ensembl:lncRNA